rnacentral:rRNA from 1 species
CAGCCGCCGCGGGAAUACGUAGGGUGCGAGCGUUAAUCGGAAUUACUGGGCGUAAAGCGUGCGCAGGCGGUUUGUUAAGACAGAUGUGAAAUCCCCGGGCUUAACCUGGGAACUGCAUUUGUGACUGGCCGGCUAGAGUAUGGCAGAGGGAGGUGGAAUUCCACGUGUAGCAGUGAAAUGCGUAGAUAUGUGGAGGAACACCGAUGGCGAAGGCAGCCUCCUGGGCCAAUACUGACGCUCAUGCACGAAAGCGUGGGGAGCAAACAGGAUUAGAUACCCCCGUAGUCCCUGUCUCUUAUAU